rnacentral:tRNA from 1 species
GCGGGGGUUCCCAAGUGGUCAAAGGGGCAAGGCUUAGGACCUUGUGGCUUAAGCCUCCGCGAGUUCGAAUCUCGUCCCCCGCA